GUAAGGAAUAUUGGACAAUGGACGCAAGUCUGAUCCAGCCAUGCCGCGUGAAGGAUUAAGGUCCUCUGGAUUGUAAACUUCUUUUAUAAGGGACGAAAAAAGGCUUUUCUAAGUCGUCUGACGGUACCUUAUGAAUAAGCACCGGCUAACUCCGUGCCAGCAGCCGCGGUAAUACGGAGGGUGCAAGCGUUAUCCGGAUUCACUGGGUUUAAAGGGUGCGUAGGCGAGCAGGUAAGUCAGUGGUGAAAUCCUAGAGCUUAACUCUAGAACUGCCAUUGAUACUAUCUGUCUUGAAUAUUGUGGAGGUAAGCGGAAUAUGUCAUGUAGCGGUGAAAUGCUUAGAUAUGACAUAGAACACCUAUUGUGAAGGCAGCUUACUACGCAUAUAUUGACGCUGAGGCACGAAAGCGUGGGGAUCAAACAGGAUUAGAUACCCCUGUAGUCC
rnacentral:rRNA from 1 species